rnacentral:rRNA from 1 species
UUGAAUGGCUGCAGUAUUUUGACUGUACUAAGGUAGCAUAAUCAUUAGUUUUUUAAUUGAAAGCUGGAAUGAAGGGUUGGAUGAAAAAAUAACUGUCUAAAAUAAUUAAUUUAGAAUUUUAUUUAUAAGUUAAAAAGCUUAUAUUAAAUUAAAAGACGAGAAGACCCUUUAGAGUUUUAUAAAGAAAUAUAAAAUAAAUAAUUUAGUAUUAAUAUUUUUAUUUAAUAUUUUUAUUUAAUUGGGGUGAUUAAAAAAUUUAUUGAACUUUUUUUAAUAUAAAUAUUUAUAAAUAAUUAGUUGAUCCAAUAUUUUGAUUAUAAGAUUAAAUUACCUAAGGGAUAACAGCGUAAUUUUAUUGGAGAGUU